CCCUUUUGAGAAGUUCUGCUAUUCCUCAUUUAUAGAUGAGAAGCCAAAGACCCAUAGGAGUUCAAUCCCUUGCACAGAGGUUCCUGACUUGUGAAUGACAGAACCAGGAUUCUGGCCCAGGCGAUGGGGCUUUGUGCGUGUGUGUGUGUGUGUGUAUGACAGAGACUCAGAGAGGCCCUGAGUCGCCACAAUCACACAGCCAGGCUAUGGGAGAAGGGGCCCGGAAGUUUUGUUGCCUGUCAUCCCCUCAUCUGUUGGACCCCUUAGCCGCUCCUGGUGCACAGAUAAAAAGUAGGGCUGGGAUUGCUGGGAAAGUACCUCACCUGGGACAAGGACAACAAAACUAAAUAAUAAAUGCCCUAGUACCCUGGCAGGACUCUCCCCAGAGCACGGGUAGGGGCAAUUGAACCUUUCUCAGUAUCAUGUGGGGAACAGCCACUGCUGGCUGCUUAUUUACUUAUUCACACCCUGCGAUGAUAUCGCCUGGGAGCCUGCAGGGCUGACAACCAGUGCUGCAGGUGCAGAGGAUGAGCGACAGCCUUCCAACGCAGGGGCCUGAAGCGACAGGAACUGGUAAACGCCAGGCUUGUGCAUCAUUGGACUUUUGCCUUGAAAUAAGAUUGAUGAUGAAAGAAAGGAAUGUGGGUGAGAGUUCAGAACCCAGGGAAAGUGAGGCCUGACUUUCCCCAGUGCUGGGCUGGUUCCCCACCCCUGCCCCUGCCUCCAGGUAAGACCCCGCCUCACCUGCCUCCCAGAGUGGGAGCCAGACUCUCUAGGCAGCUAAGGCCCAAGCCCACUCUGAGGUUGAUGCCUGGCCUGGGGCAAAUUAUUUUCUGGGAGUCUCAGAUUUGUCAGCAGUAAAAUGGGGGCAUUGUUUGCAGGAUUGUGCAUGGAGACCAAGCUGUGACAGACCGUGUGCUGGUGACUUGUGUGCUGUGGGCUUGUGCAACACUCAUUGCUGAGUGUCGUGGGACGGUUUAUGUGCAUUCUCUGUACUUAAGCUUCACAGUGAACCAUUCAGAGCAGCACCUCCUCCCAGGCUGCCUGGGUUCAAAUCCAGAGUCAGGAUCCAGUGAUAGCCCCUCACCCCUUAAGACAAGGUCACUAAGUUCCCCAGCCUGCCCAAGUUGGCUUCAAACUCACAAUCCUCCUGUCUCAGCCAUCUGAGUAGCUGGGAUUGGUAAUACAGGUCUUUCCACCAGGCCUGGCUUGACUUGAUGGGUUUUAAUUAAUUAAUUUUAUUAUUAUUUUUUGUUGUUUUGUUUGUUUUUGGUACUAGGGAUCGAACUCGGGACCUUGUGCUUUCGAGGCAGGUGGUGGAACUACUGAGCUAAAUCCCUGACCUAUUAUUAUUAUUUUAGGCAGGGUCUCACUAAGUUGGUAAUUUGCCUAGGGUGGGCUCAAACUUGCAAUGUUCCUGCCUCCCAGAGUCCUGGGAUCACCUGUGUCCACCACUAUGCCAGCUUGGUUUUUAUUUUUAUUUAAUUUAUUAUUGUUGUUGUUGUUGUUAUUUUCUUUUGCUUUGGUACUGGGGGUUGAACCUUGGGCCUCAGAAAUGCUAAGCAAAUGCUCUACCACUAAGCUACAUCUUCAGCCCUGAGCUUCCUUUCUUUCCUUCCUUCCUUUUUUUUAUUUGGGGGGGGACUACAGGCCUGGGGCACCAGGUCCACCUAUAUGUUUAUAUGUGGAUAUUGGAAUUUGAAGUCCAUACACUCCCACCCUGGGAAUUGCCAUCUUCAACUAUUAUCCUAUGAUACUUUUUUUUUUCUUUUUUUUUGAGACAGGGUCUCGCUAUAUAGCCUAGGCUGGCCUCAAAUUCCUUAAACUCAUGGCAAUCCUGCCUCAGCCUCCUGAGUGCUGGGAUUACGGGCGUGCGCCACUACAUCCGGCUUUAUAUUGCUUUUUUUUUUUUUUUUUUUGCACCAGGGAUCGAACUCAGGACCUUGCGCUUGAGAGGCAGGCGCAGUGCCACUGAGCUAAAUCCCCAGCCCCUUAUAUUUUCUUUUUUUGGUACUGGGGAUCGAAUUCAGGUCCUUGCGCUUGCACAGCAGGCAGCAAAACCACUGAGCUAAAUCCCCAGCUUAUAUUUUCUUUUAAAGCAAUAACUACUUAAACCAUUCAUGUUUUUCCUAUUUGCCAUCUUUUACCUUCUUUCAGCUCCAUCCUUGAAAUCAAGCCAUCAAUGAAUUCUAAUUGGUCAGUUCUCUGAUAGUUGGUAAAAUGCCCCACCCUUUCUCCACCAGAAACAAGUGGUAGGGCACUUGUAUCAAGAAGUUGGCCAAUGAGAGGAUGGCAUAGCCCAGCCGGUCCACCAAUAGGCUGGUGACAUUCUUGCCUCUCCAAAGGCCUCAGCCAGGAGCAGCCUCAUGCCCUUGCAGUUUUGACACCUUCCCUGUAUUCCUGGAGAUUCCUUUCAAAGCCACUAGAGGGACACAGGAUGGACAGAUGGCCCGACUCCCUCCAGCCUGCCUGGGCCUUCCCCAGCCCUCUCCUCCCUGGAGUGGCUGGGAAAGGAGGCUUUCCAAGGCAAAGAUAAUAUACAUGUAAAAAAUGUGGUUUCAAGCUUUUUCUUUUACUUAUUUUUUUCAUUUUAUGAGACAAUAAUUUUGGCUUUCUUUUUGAAAAAACAUGUUAUUUUAAAGUUUGAACACCUCCUCCUUUGUCUUCCUGAGCUCUGGACGCUGACCUCCCACCCUGUCCCUGAGUGGGGCCUGCAGCACCAUGCCAGCCUGCAGAUGGAGAGGCAGGAGGCAGUCUUGGUGGCAUCCAAGUAAGAAGACAAGGGUGAGGCUGAUGGAGCUGAAGUUGUCAUCUUUAACUAUUAAUUCUGGUUCCAGGAAGAGCUAGUGAUGGAAGCCAAUGGAAGUGUGGGGUGGAUAGGGCUGGAGUUAAGAGUCAAGAGACACCUAGCAGGGCAUGGUGGUACAGGCCUGUAAUCACAGCAACUCAUGAGGCUGAGGCAGGAGGAUCGAAAGUUUGAGGCCAGCCUGGGCAACUUAACAAGACCUUGUCUCCAAAUAAAAAAUAAAGAGGAUAGGGGAUGUGGCUCAGUGGUAGAGCAUACCACAUUUUAUUCCCCGUGCUUGAGAAGAACUGUGGAGUUUUGGGUUACCCCUGAGCUUCUGCCCUCGUUUGGAAGGGACUGAAUGGCAGCCCUUGCUUUCCUUCCUUCCUGAAGGUGUGAGGAGGGGAUGGGAAUUAAUGCCUCUAAAGAAAGGACUUGAGUCCUGCAGCAGCACAAGGGCUGCAGGCUGUGGGAGCCCUAUCACGAGUGGGGUCACAGCCACUUAGCAGGGUGGCAGCUGCUCAGCUCCAACGAGACUCAGAGUCAGAAUGUGAGCCCUACACUGCUUCUGACUCUUGUUUUCACUGUUUUGUGUUCUCAGUUCUGAGCAUCAACCUAGGGCCUUGUGCAUGUGAGGCAGGCACUCGACCACUAACCGGCACCCUAGCUCUACUUUGCAUUCUUUUUUAAAAAAGAAGCUGGGGGCCAGGGAUUUAGCCCAGUGGUUCCCUCACCUGCCUCACAAGUGCAAGGACCCGAGUUCAAUCCCUGGUACCAAAAAAAAAAAAGAAGAAGCUGAGCUUUUAUGUGAAACCUACCAAUUGUUGUAGAUUAAACAGUAACUCGGAAUUUAAUAAAAUACUAUGCUAGCCAGGUGUGGUGGCCUGCACCCUUCCAAAUACAAAUACCCUUCCAAUCUUUGUAUUUGAAAGGCUGAGGCAGGGGGAUCUUGAGUUCAACAUGUAGCCUGGGGUACAUCAUUCAAGGGCAGCCUGAAUUACAUAGAGAAAACCUCUCUCAAAAAGCCAAAAACAGUGCACUUCAGCAGCAAGUAUACUAAAAUUGGAACAACACAGAGAAGGUUUGCAUGGCCCCUGAGAAAGGGUGAUACAUGAGUUUGUGAAGCAUUCCAUAUUUUAAAAACAAAACAUACAAGCUGGGGAUAUAGCUCAGGGGUAGACCGCUGGCCUAGCAUGUGCAAGGCCUUGGGCUCAAUCCCAGUUCCAUUAAAAAAGAAAGAAAGAAAAGAAAGAGAAAAGGUAAACACUGAGCUCUGCUGGCAGCAUGGUAUGGCCAAAGAACCCUGUCCGUGAGCAGGCCGGGCUUUGACUUUGGGUUUAUGACCUGCUUGACAAAGCUGAAUGUAAGGGCUGGGGAUUUGGCUCAGUGGUUCUGCUGCCUGCCCCACAAGUGCAAGGUCCCGAGUUCAAUCCCUGGUACAAAAAAAAAAGUCCAAAACCAAAGCUGAAUGUAAACAUCAGCUCUGUGAAACCCCAGGCAGAUGAGGGAGCACAGAAGGCAGAACUCUAGGGUGUCUAAGUGAAUUCCUCCACACAAAGCCCUGUCUUUAUCCCCUCAUUUUCAUUAUCCAAGGCAAAACCACAGCUCCUGGACCAGGUCUGUUCCAUCUCUUCUCCUCUUCCCAGAUCAGUAGCUUUUGUAUUUUGCUCAUCAUUGGCUUUGAAGUUAAGCGAACAUUGGUUUGAAAUCCAGCUUUACUAUUUUCAUAAUUGUGUUAUCUCAGCAAGUUAUCUUUUUCCUCUUUCUUUCUUUCUUUCUUUCUUUCUUUCUUUCUUUUCUUUCUUUCUUUCUUAACAGUACCAUUCCCUAGGAAUUGAACCCAGGGCCUUUGCAAUAAGCUACAUCCCCAGCCCUUUUAAAAUUGUUUCUUUGCAUUUUAUUUUGAGACAGUCUCACGAAGUUGCCCAGGCUGGCCUCAAACUUGAGAUCCUCCUGGCUCAGGCUCUCAAGUAGUUGAGGUAAAAGGUGUGUGCCACCAUGUCUGGCUCAAAUUUUUAAAGUUUUGUUUUGUUUUUAGUCUUCUGAACCCAAGAUUUUUCUUCAAUAAAACAAGGAUACUAUCAUUCGGGAAGAUUAAAUAAGAAUCAACAAGGGGUAGGGGUGUAGCUCAGUGGUAGGUUGCUGGCCUAGCAUGUGUGAGGUCCUGGGCCCAAUCCCCAGCAUCACACACACACACUCCCAGUGAGGAGGAGAAUAGCAACGUGGAUCACCUCUCACUGUGCCCAUAAAACAGUAAAACUCAGGCAGUUGCGUCCCUUUUCCCUAAGUGAGUGACAAACCCGGCGACCCGGGUCGGCCUAACGGGAGGUUUCUUUGGGGUUUCCCUCAACUGCCACUAGGGGGCAGCACAGAACCGCAAAUCUCAGCCCCUUGUGGGGAGGGACUCCGGCCGGCAGUGGUUGGGGUCGGGGUAUCUCAGGGCGAACCCGACGAUCAAGUACAGUUUGAGAGGCCGCUCCGUGUCCUGAAGCCCACAGCACAGGGUGCAGCAGGUCGGGGCGGGGUGGCCCACGCCUGUGGUCCCGGGGGGCUGAGCCCGGGCAACUCACCGAAACCCUGCGGGGAGGCAGGAGGGAAGAGCGACGGAGCGCGGCCCGAGCCCGCUCAGCUGCCCGGAGUGAAGGCGGGGGCGGCCCCACCCUGCGUGACUCCGGACCCCACAUGCGGACUGAGG
rnacentral:lncRNA from 1 species